rnacentral:rRNA from 1 species
AUUGAACGCUGGCAGCAGGCCUAACACAUGCAAGUCGAGCGGAUGAAGGGAGCUUGCUCCUGGAUUCAGCGGCGGACGGGUGAGUAAUGCCUAGGAAUCUGCCUGGUAGUGGGGGAUAACGUCCGGAAACGGGCGCUAAUACCGCAUACGUCCUGAGGGAGAAAGUGGGGGAUCUUCGGACCUCACGCUAUCAGAUGAGCCUAGGUCGGAUUAGCUAGUUGGUGGGGUAAAGGCCUACCAAGGCGACGAUCCGUAACUGGUCUGAGAGGAUGAUCAGUCACACUGGAACUGAGACAUGGUCCAGACUCCUACGGGAGGCAGCAGUGGGGAAUAUUGGACAAUGGGCGAAAGCCUGAUCCAGCCAUGCCGCGUGUGUGAAGAAGGUCUUCGGAUUGUAAAGCACUUUAAGUUGGGAGGAAGGGCAGUAAGUUAAUACCUUGCUGUUUUGACGUUACCAACAGAAUAAGCACCGGCUAACUUCGUG